AGGUUUCAAGCUUCCCCGCCUGCCGCGGCUUCUGUGCUGUGUCUGCGCUCCGAUUCACCCGUCGCCCGAGUUCUGUCCGGGAAACUUCGCGUUUGGUUAAAAUUGUUACAAAGUUCAGCUGGAAGUUUCCUUCUCCUUUGGUCUUUCCCCAGUUCCUCUGGCAGCCCUCCCUAAGGACCUCUGGAAGAUGAAGUCAGAAAUGGCUUCCCUGGGGACCGAGGGAGCCCACAGGGCUCUACCUACGGCUUCCUCAACCCCUGUAUUUUGCACGGCUCUCUAAAUUAUCUCAGUUCCAGUGUAGCUACACCUUUGGGCCGUGUUAACAGAUGUUCAGCUUUGCCACUUUGCUGUACGUGUUGCAAGGGGUCUUCUUCUAUGUGUUUGUGAACUUCUCUGGCUGUGGUGGACACGGAGGUGCCGGGCCAGGUGCCCCUUUGAGGAAGGACUUGCUGCCGGCGCCCUCAUCAGCAGCACGGAGCCGCCUCACCUGAGACCCACAUGGCCUGGGCCACACCUGCGACCGAGCCCCACCAGCCAGCCAGCCAGGACCUCUCACUGUCAGCUCUGGCCUGGGUGUCCCCCGCUGGGCCGGCCAAGGCUUUCUCUGGGCUGAAUUGUGCCUUGACUUCUCCCUUUGCCCAAGUUUUGUGCCUUAAAAACCGUCUGCACCCCUAGCUCCAUCUCAGCAAUUGCUUCCAGAGGCCCCCACCUUCGGGGAGACGCUGUCUGCUAAAAUGGCUUGUGUGACAACAGAUGGGUCUCUAUCCCCACCUCCCAGCUCUACCUGCAAAUGGAAGUUAUUGGCUUGGGUUAACAUUUAUAACUAACAUUAGUGACUGAGACUACACUAGGAGCAAUAGUGGCAAAGAAAUAUGAUCGUGCAUUCAAUGGGAUGUGCUUUUGUUCACCAAGGAUAAAGAGAUUCGUUUUGUCUGAAGUGUUUGUUUGCUCCAGAAUGGGAAAGAGAGUAGUGAAAGAUACAACUUGAAUGAAAAUAGAAAAUUAUGGAAGUUUUAAAGAAAGUAAACCUUAUUUUCCUUGAUUCCAAAUAUCUGCAAAUAAUGAGUCUGAAAAAAAAAAACAAUGAAAUGUGUUACAAUUUGGGCAAAAUUUGUUCAUACUUAAUGGGUUUGUUCGUAAGAAAAAAUAAAAGCAUAUGAAUCGUU